UUUAUUGGCCUGUUUAAUAUAAACAUUGCUGAUCACAAAUACGAAUUAUGGCAAGAAAAUUUAUUAAGUUAAUAUUGCAUUUUUUUUAGAAGUGAUUUUCCCCAAAACAAACUUGAUUAAAAAUAUCACUAAUGAAAUACUGGCCAAGACAUGACCUUCACUUCAAUGCAAUUUAAAAAAUAAUAGAAUGAUAUAACAUGGCGAUGAUCUGUGAAACAAAUAUACAUUUUAAAAAUAUUAUUAUUAUUAUAGCUUUUAUAUAG